rnacentral:lncRNA from 1 species
AGGGUUUGAAAGCUGGAAGAAUCCUUAGCCACCAUCUUCCAUUAUCUCUUCAUUUUGAAAGCAUAGAAUCAAAGACUGAAAAAGGACUCGGCCAAAUGGAUAAACAAUAUGUGGGACAUCCACACAAUGGAAUAUUAUUCAACAGAAAGAGGAAGGAAGGACUGGUACAUGCCAUAAGGACUUCAGCGGCUGAUAGGAGAUACCGGCAAUUCUGUCAUGGAGGAACGAGUGCUGCACGUGAUGCGGAAGCAGCUAUAUCAAAAACCGCCCUUGCACACUGCCCCCAAAUCACCCGUCCAGAGCCGGAAAAGCCCAUGUCAUGAGAAAUCGUUUCCCCAGGAAUCAUCAAAGAAAGCAGGCAUAUAAACAGCAACAUGGUUUACCGAAAGUGACACUGGUCAGAGGAAUAACUGGAAAUGUGAAAUAAUGCUGUGUGCCCGGCCCAUCCUCUUGUACCUUGCUUUAAAGGAAGCCAGUUCUUGUUGGAAAAUGACAAUAAUGUAAAAUAAGAAUGAGGCUGGUUUGCUAAUGUUUAUAAAGUUAAUAAAAAAAAAAAACGAGGAGAAGAAACAAAACCCA